UCCGGUUCUUCACCAGCAGUCUCCUUAGAGUCCCCGCCAUGACGCGUUGGCAACUAAGGAUAGGGGUUGCGCUCGUUACGGGACUUAACCCAACAUCUCACAACACGAGCUGACGACAGCCAUGCAGCACCUGUCUCUAGGUUCCUUUCGGCACUCCCGCAUCUCUACAGGAUUCCUAGGAUGUCAAGGGUAGGUAAGGUUUUUCGCGUUGCAUCGAAUUAAUCCACAUCAUCCACCGCUUGUGCGGGCCCCCGUCAAUUCCUUUGAGUUUUAAUCUUGCGACCGUACUCCCCAGGCGGUCAACUUCACGCGUUAGCUUCGUUACCAAGGAAUUGCUUCCCCGACAACUAGUUGACGUAGUUUAGGGCGUGGACUAC
rnacentral:misc_RNA from 1 species